rnacentral:misc_RNA from 1 species
AUGAGCGUACGGACACUCCGUCCAAUCAUGAGACCGUCCACGCGUACACUUCCUCACCUUGAACUCAAAAAUCCGAAAAUGAUCGCAAGAAUAAGCAUCCACCGGAACGUCCGAUUCCCGUCCGGACAACUCCGAAUCAGAUUCAAUCUCCGACUCGUUCGUAUAUCGCUGAAGUGCCGCUAGGGCUUCCUGGAGAUAAUAAGGAGAAUAAUCACCGCCAUUGGCAUUGCCAUCAGAACUCACCGAGAUUCCACUCAGAGGAAAAGCAAACCGCGUCUCGCUUGCAGGAGGUUCCUCUGGUAUCGUUAAUGGAGUGAUGUGAACCACCGGACCAGGGCGGUGGCGUUCACUGAUAAUCAUAUCGUCAGCCGGAGAACACGGUGUAGGUUACGGUUACAG